rnacentral:rRNA from 1 species
UACGUAGGGCGCAAGCGUUGUCCGGAAUUAUUGGGCGUAAAGAGCUCGUAGGCGGCUUGUCACGUCGGGUGUGAAAGCCCGGGGCUUAACCCCGGGUCUGCAUUCGAUACGGGCAGGCUAGAGUGUGGUAGGGGAGAUCGGAAUUCCUGGUGUAGCGGUGAAAUGCGCAGAUAUCAGGAGGAACACCGGUGGCGAAGGCGGAUCUCUGGGCCAUUACUGACGCUGAGGAGCGAAAGUGUGGGGAGCGAACAGG